GUCCUCUAGCCCUGGGAAGAUGCUGGUGUAUGUCUGCACAUAAUAAAAUGAUAAAGCAAUACAAAGAAAAUUAGGCCGCUUCCUCGUCAUCGCUUGGACAUACGGUCGUUAUAUCGGAUGAAAAAGAUCAGCCACAGAAGGCUACAGUAGUUGCUCCAUUAGAAAGUAACAGAAGACUGGACUUUGCAUGACUUACAUUCCUGUGCAAGAGAGUUCCACCAAAACAAAGCUUUAGAAUACAUGACAUGAAGAUGACUUGGGGUGUUUAAAAGCACAUUCCUUAAGAUACAUUUUUUGGGGGGUAACCUGGCUGCUCCACCCCCCUAAACCUGCCAAUAUGUAUGGAAGUUCCCGCUCAGUGAGCAAAAUGGACAGUAAUCACGGUGGGGGUAGAAAUAACCAGAGCAACUCAGGCCGUUCACCACGGCUGCCUCGGUCACCCCGCAUGGGCCACCGUCGAACCAACAGCACGGGGGGCAGCGGGGGAGGCCCAGGGGGCUCUGGAGGUAAGACGCUGUCCAUGGAGAACAUCCAAUCCCUGAACGCUGCCUACGCCACAUCAGGGCCAAUGUACAUGAGUGACAAUGAAGUCGCAAUCGGCACCUCCUCUGACCUCCCCAAGACUGGUGUGGCGACGGGACGGUUUGGUGGCAGCAUCCCUUAUGGUGUCAGAGGAACGGUAGCGGGCAGCACACCUGAUAUGGCUAUGGUGCCAGCAGUAUCCACUGACUCUAUGGGCUUUGGAGGGGAGAUCCACGCAGCAUCGACUGUUCCUCACUCCCUACGCCAGGCGAGAGACAACACCAUCAUGGAGCUCCAAGCCCAGCUCAAGGAGGUGCUGAGGGAGAACGAGCUCCUCCGGAAAGAGAUAGAGGUGAAGGAAAGCAAGCUCAGCUCCUCCAUGAGCUCCAUCAAAAGCUUCUGGAGCCCGGAGCUGAAGAAAGAACGUGCAUUGCGCAAAGAUGAGGCAUCCAAAAUAACAGUGUGGAAGGAGCAGUAUCGUGCAGUGCAAGAUGAGACACAGCACCUUCAGACAACCGUGCAGGCACUGCAGGCCGAGCUGCGCAUCCAGCGUGACUUGAACCAGCUGCUCCAACCACCUGGGGAGCCACUGGCCUGUGAGCCCAGUGAGGAGCAGGAAAGGCAGGCUCGAGAGCUUUUUUUGCUCCGCCGUACCCUGGAGGAGAUGGAGGUUCGCUUAGAAACCCAACGACAGACGCUAGUUGCUCGCGAUGAUUCAGUCAAAAAGCUCCUGGAGAUGUUGCACAGCAAGGGACCCUCGGCUAAAGCCAGCGAAGAGGAUCACGAGCGAACACGUCGCCUUGCAGAUGCUGAGAUGCAUGCACACCACAUGGAGAACCUUCUAGAACAGCGUGAUAAAGAGCUGGCUGCUUUGAGAGAGGAGCUGCAUCGCCGCCUCGAGGGGACGCCAGAGUCUACGAAAACCAAAGCUCUUCAGACUGUAAUUGAAAUGAAGGACUCCCAAAUAGGUUCUCUAGAGCGGGGCCUCAGAGAUCUGGAGGAUCAGGUCAUGAUGCUUCGAUCCAGUAGUAUGCUCAGCUGUGAAGAACGGCAGGAGGAGGCCAAACAGAUGGAGGUCUACCGUAACCACACUAAGUUCAUGAAGAACAAGAUGGAUCAGGUGAAACAGGACCUGUCCAGGAAGGAUACUCAGCUCCUCGGCUUGCAGACCAAGUUGGAGACCCUAACUAACCAGUUCUCUGACAGUAAACAGCAUAUUGAAGUGCUCAAAGAGUCUCUGACUGCCAAAGAACAACGUGCUGCUAUAUUACAGACAGAGGUGGACGCUCUGAGGUUGCGUCUGGAGGAGAAGGAGACCAUGCUGAACAAAAAGAGCAAGCAGAUCCAAGAAAUGUCUGAAGAAAAGAGCACACUCAAUGGAGAAAUCCAUGAUCUGAAAGACAUGCUGGAUGUCAAGGAGCGCAAAGUCAACGUGCUUCAGAAAAAAAUUGAAAACCUGCAGGAGCAGCUGAGGGAUAAGGAGAAGCAGAUGAGCAGUCUUAGGGAGAGAGUGAAAUCCCUGCAGACGGAUACUUCUAAUACAGACACAGCCCUCACUACAUUGGAGGACUCACUGGCUGAGAAGGAGCGUAUUAUUGAGCGUCUGAAGGAGCAGCGUGACCGUGAGGAGCGAGAAAAAGCAGAGGAGCUGGACAACAGCAAGAAAGAGCUGAAAGAAUUAAAGGACAAAGUCAGCAUGCUGCAGGGAGACCUGUCAGACCGUGAGACUUCUCUCCUGGACCUCAAAGAGCAUGCAUCAUCGCUGGCAUCUUCUGGCCUGAAGAAAGACUCCAAACUGAAAAGUUUAGAGAUUGCUCUUGAGCAACGAAGGGAGGAGUGCACCAAGCUCGAGAACCAACUGAAGAAGGCCCAGAGUGCCGCAGCCAAUGCACAGGCCAAUUCUGAGCUUUCAGAGCGAAUUUCCUCACUUGAAUCUGAUGUGGCCAGACACAGAGAGGACUCUGCCAAGGCUCAGGCUGAAGUUGAUCGCCUAUUGGACAUUCUGCGUCAGAUGGAGAACGAGAAAAAUGACAAGGACAAAAAAAUCAACGAACUGGAGAGUGUGGCUUCCAGGCAAAUGAAAGAGCAGAGUAAGAAGGUUUCUGGCAAACACAAGGAGCCUUCAGGGAAGGGCAGAAAUGUCAAUGAUGGCCCGCAGCAGGAGUCCUUGCGGCAGAAGGCAGAGCGUAUUGAAGAGUUGGAGGAGGCUCUUAGAGAGAGUGUUCAAAUCACUGCAGAGAGAGAGAUGGUGCUGGCACAGGAGGAGGCAGCAAGAAACCACCAGGAAAAACAGAUGGAAGAAUUAAUUGGAGCGAUGGAGAAAGUGAAGCUAGAACUUGAGUCCAUGAAGGCCAAGAUGUCAUCCACCCAGCAGUCUCUGGCUGAGAAAGAAGCUCAUCUAACCACAUUGAGAGCUGAGAGGAGGAGACAUCUGGAGGAGGUGCUGGAGAUGAAGCAGGAGGCUCUGCUGGCUGCCAUCAGUGAGAAAGAUGCAAACAUAGCUUUGCUGGAGCUGUCCUCAUCUAAAAAGAAGAAGACACAAGAGGAAGUUGCUCAGCUGCGGAGAGAGAAGGACCGUUUGGUGCAGCAACUCAAACAGCAGACACAGAACCGUAUGAAGCUCAUGGCGGAUAAUUAUGAUGACGGCUACUUGAAAACACCACCUGACCAGACCAACCACAAACCUCCAAAAUCACCCGAUCAGAUAAGAUCUGGGCAGAGAGCUACAGUGCACAGGAGCUCUACACUGGCCACCUGAUUUUCCUGUACAACCACCCCCUCAACCCCUUAAUUUACAGAAUCAACUCAGCCCACAUCUCAUCACACCAGUAGCCCAGGACCCACUGUCAGUGUCACUGAACAAAUUUGCACAGUGGGAGCCUGGGUUGGUAAGUCAGUGUGGAGCUGCAAUUAGGAUUCUUGGACCCUGCUUUGGACCUCUGGCACUGGAGCAGACCUCCCUCCAGAACCAAAACAGCCAUGAUCGAACCCUCCAGCUCUUACUGUCUCUCUGCCCUCACCUCUCAUCUGAACUAAUACGGAGCCCUCAAAGAGCCUGUAACAGUCUCUAGUCUUAAUACUGGUGCAGAUUUGAAAAUAUGCAGUGUUAGUUGAGUUGUGAAUACAAUUUUUAUUUUGUCCUCUUGAUAUGUCAUCAUGGUUGAGUAAAAAAAGAUAUAGAAUGUUAACCAAUGGGAGGUGCUAUAUAAAAAAAUAACUGAAUGCCAAACUGUUGUUAAACAAUAAAAAAAAAAAGUGUUAUGCUAAUUAAACUGCACCAAGUAUUAAGACUAUUGUAUUAUCACUUGGACCCUUGAUCCAAUCUGCAUUUAGAGGUUUUCUUGCACAUACUGUAUGACUGGAUCUACUUCAUUGGAUGACCUUUACCCUUUACCAGAAAACUAUGACACCUUCAAGAGUAUGAUGUGAACAUUUAUAGAUAGUGAUGUCUAUUUGUCACACCUGACUUUAUGUCAGUGGAUCAAAUCAGGUUCUUUAUGUCCCUUAAUUCCAAUUAACAGCUGCUACAUAAAAUAGACAUUAAAGACCCCAUGAAAUCAUAAUUUAAUAAUUAUGAUUUUUGUGGCUUUUAGUUCAAGUCUGUAAAGAAUGCAAACUGAUCUUUCAGCACAUAUACACAUUUAAAAUUUUAAGUCAUUCUCUUUGGGUAAAAAAGGACCAAAAAAUAGAUGACAUCCUGCACUACACAGAUUUUUGUCCAAUCAAAUGCUCUCUAGAAUGAGAAUGUCUCUCCCCAUAACACCAUCUGCAGCCGAAUAGCAGGUAGCAAAUUGUGGUUCAUGGUGGUGAUGAAACUAAAGCCUAUUGGCUAUUUAAAAAAAAAAAAGAAAAAAACAAGGGUUGUGGCCUUCAAUAUGUCCUGCCCAGGCUUUUAAUAGGAAAAAUGUCAACACAGGAAAAGAAAACAGUGCUCAUCAGGCGAUUUCAUGGGGUCUUUAAAUAUGAAAACAGUUUUUAUUGCUCAUGAAGGAGUUAUAAAGGGGUUUGUUCAGGAUUUAAAAAAUAUGAUGUUCUCGCUUUACUGAGACUUUAGUCAUUUUCUAGCAGCUCUUAGACAGGACUCCCGAAUAUCUUCAUAUCAUAUCCUGAUAACCAGUUUUUAAGAGCUCAUUGCUGGUUUUAUGUGCUCUCGUAAACAUGGAUAUCAUUGUGUCUGCCUGUCUGUCUGUCUGUCUCUCUCUCUCUCUCUCUCUCUCUCAAAGUGGAUUUUUUUAAUGUUGCAUUUGUGGCCUUUUGUCUUCGUGUAUUAAAAUGAAAUAAAAAAAAAAAAUUAUAAUCCACUAAAAAAAGAAUGAAUAAAAUGAAAAGAAGAAAUGAUGAAAUCAGUCAAAAGACACAGAGAUGAGUGCGCUGGCUUUGUAUAAAUGUGUAUGUAUAUAAAAAUGUAUUAUGUGUUUUCA